UAAUAAUUAAUUAUAUAUUUACUAUUUUACCCUAUUUUUUAUAGCCCCAAAUUAAUUUAAUUGCAAAUGAUUCCUCAUUUCAAUUUCUUUUUAACGACAGAUUUUUGAGAAAUUUAUUUUAUAGCCCGAUUUUUAGUCUUACCUGAUGCUGCUAGAGUUUUUCUUCUGAUUGCUCAUUGUUCAGAGUCUUACAUGUUGCUGCUGGAGUUUUUCUUCUAAUUACUCAUUGUUCGUCAGUCUUCCUCUUCGUCGGGACCACCUCGGUAUGAAAUUCAGAGCCGCCGUGUGUUGUGAGCGACAACUAGAUCGAAGGGGAGUCGCAAAAGAAGAAUGAAGGGGCUAUAAAAUAUAUAUUUCAUAUUUGGUUGUUGUCUUGUUCAAGUCUUCGAGAAUCAAGAGGCUUCCGGUUUCGAUCGUAAUAUAUAUUUCGGGGAUGAACCGAUUGUAUAUGCAUUUCAGGAAUUCUAGUAAACAUUUCCCUAUUUUAUGUUUUCUUGUUUCAAUAUUGGUUGCUUUAUCUUAGUUAUUGGAAGUCCCUUUUUUUUGAAGUAUUAAUGAGAAGCUAUUACUCUUAUGUAUUGUCAAUUUUGUUAUAGCAGAUUGUAUAUUGUAAUUAAUUGAUAACUUUAUGGAAUGAAAUGAGUUUCUUUUACACCUCAAUAGUGAUGGCAAUAUCAUCGAUGCUCUUACAGUUGUUGGAGGAAGAGUUCAAUACUUUAAUUAAUAAGAAGGAUCAAAUGAAUAUUGAAACAAAUAAUGGAUAUACGAUUUAUUGGAGAACUUUUUAAGUCUAAAAUUGCUCGUGCCAGCUUGGUUUUUAGUUGUCUAAAGGAUAGCGAGGACAACAGGAAACUCAAUGAUUUGUUAGGCUAUAUGUCUUGCAGAUCAUGGUGGAAAAAAGGAGAUUACAGAAGGUGUUGCAGCUGGUCUUGCUGCAUUAACAACAGAGAACUCAAAACAUGGUGAGAGAGACGAAUCUUGCGUUGUUGCUUCUGCAGCGACCUUAGUGGCUGAGACGAUGAGAGCCAAGAUGGAGCAGCUGAGCAGCGUGAUAGGCUCAAGAAUCAGCAGCACAAUUUUCAGCGAGAUAGUAACGCUACCAGCUGCUGCUACAACAUGUAUGAGCUAGUACUUUCAUAUUAGGAUAACAAAAGUUUUUAGAUGAACCAAAUAAUGGCAAACUGCAUAUUAGUGUGUCUCUCUACAUUGUUGGCAAAAUGCAUUAAAGCUAACAGCGUACAGUGCAACAUAAAACUUAUCAAUUUCAGUUCAAAAAUAUUAAUUAUGAUGGGCUCCUA